CCUACGGGGUGCAGCAGUGAGGAAUAUUGGUCAAUGGGCGGAAGCCUGAACCAGCCAAGUAGCGUGAAGGAAGAAGGCUUUCGGGUUGUAAACUUCUUUUAAGGGGGAAGAGCAGAAGACGGUACCCCUUGAAUAAGCCACGGCUAACUACGUGCCAGCAGCCGCGGUAAUACGUAGGUGGCAAGCGUUGUCCGGAUUUACUGGGUGUAAAGGGCGUGCAGCCGGAGAGACAAGUCAGAUGUGAAAUCCACGGGCUCAACCCGUGAACUGCAUUUGAAACUGUUUCCCUUGAGUGUCGGAGAGGUAAUCGGAAUUCCUUGUGUAGCGGUGAAAUGCGUAGAUAUAAGGAAGAACACCAGUGGCGAAGGCGGAUUACUGGACGAUAACUGACGGUGAGGCGCGAAAGCGUGGGGAGCAAACAGGAUUAGAUACCCGGGUAGUC
rnacentral:rRNA from 1 species